AUGUCAGCAGAUGCCAUUGUUUCCACACGGAAGAAUUCAGUGACACACCUUUGUUUCAUCUGCAUCAGAUGCCAUUCUGUCAGACUGCCCCUCAGGUUGCGUUGUAAGCCGUUGUGCUCAGCUCCUGGGACUGUAUGCUGUGCAGUGCUGGUGGAUGUAACUUCCCCAGGACACAUAUUUUUUAUUACAGCAGAGCAUCUGAACCUCAGACUCACAGAAUCACAGAAUGGCCUGGGUAGAAGGGACCUCAAGGACCACUCAAGAAUCUCCGACCCCCUGCAACAGGCAGUGCCACCAAGCUCCCAUUUCAUACCAGACCAGGCUGUCCAAGGCCCCAUCCAACCUGGCCUUUAACACCUCCAAGGAUGGGGCAUCCACAGCCGCUCUGGACAACCUGUUCCAGCACCUCACCACUCUCAUAGUAAAGAACUUCUCCCUGGCAUUCAACCUAAAUCUUCCCUCCUUCAACUUCAGACCAUUCCCCCUUGUCCUGCUGUUAUCUAUCCUUUCAAGGAGUUGACUCCCCUCCUGAUUUUAGGCUCCCUUCAGGUACUGAAAGGCUGCAACGAGGUCACCCUGCAGCCUUCUCUUCACAAGCUCAGCUCCCUCAGCCUGUCUUCGUACAUACUCCACACAGACUCCACAUAGACCCUGACUACUCAGGAUUACCAGCAUUUCCCUUUUGCUCUGUGCACCUGUCUCUUGCCAGUUUGAAAGCAAGCCUCCAUAUUUUGAGUGAUUCUAAGCUUGCUAGCAGCUCAGUUAAAUUAUGGGAAUGGAUAGAUAUGCCCUGUCACAAUAUUCUGUAAAUUUUGAAUUACUGUGGGCUAGGGAAGAAGAGAAAGACUGAGACUGGAUAAAGACUUUGGAAGCAUUGGCUGGGGUGGUGUAGAGAAGACAACUGUGUGACUAGAAGCCAAUAAGUAAAGGUAACAGAAGUGCGUAGGAACAAAUGAAAGGAGAAAAUAGGGAAAAACGAGAAUGAAGAGUGAAACUGGCUGAUAUUGGAUCACUGGACUAGGGAGAGCUGGGAAGAGAAAAAGAGCUGAAAAGCCCAAGAAGCUGAAUUGAAGGGUGUGGGACAGGGGAACUAGUGGGAGCUGGAGGCUAAGUGAAAGGAGUGCAGCUGAGGAGUCAUGAAUAGCAAAGUGCUCUUCUGUAAUGGGAUGACUAAAGUGAGACAAAUGGGAUUGAAAGUAAGGAGUCUGCAUGAGAAAAAGGCAGGAGAGAAAUGAAGGAUACAGGACUGAUGAUGCUAAGCAUUCUUUUAUUAUUUCCCCCCCCCCCCCUUCUCCUUUCUUUUCUUUCCUCCCCCACCCCCCUUCUUCUACCUCCCAUUUUUUU
rnacentral:lncRNA from 1 species